rfam:Brachypodium distachyon strain Bd21 chromosome 2, whole genome shotgun sequence.
UAUAUACUCCGUCCGUCCCGUAUUAAGUGACUUUCUAUUACAUGUAUUUAGACGCUUUUUAGACAUAAAUACAUCCAUAUUUGGACAAAUUUGAGUCACUUAAUAUGGGACGGAUGGAACAUUAG